CUACGGGCUGCUGCAGUGGGGAAUUUUGCGCAAUGGGGGAAACCCUGACGCAGCAAUACCGCGUGAGUGAAGAAGACCUUUGGGUCGUAAAGCUCUUUUCUUGGGGAAGAUAGUGACGGUACCCAAGGAAUAAGCACCGGCUAACUCCGUGCCAGCAGCCGCGGUAAUACGGAGGGUGCAAGCGUUGUUCGGAUUUACUGGGCGUAAAGGGCACGUAGGCGGCACAGCAAGUUAAGGGUGAAAUCCCGGGGCUCAACCCCGGAACUGCUCUUAAAACUGCUGAGCUAGAGAUAGUCAGAGGCGGGUGGAAUUCCAGGUGUAGAGGUGAAAUUCGUAGAUAUCUGGAGGAACACCGGUGGCGAAGGCGGCCCGCUGGGGCUAUUCUGACGCUAAGGUGCGAAAGCGUGGGGAGCAAACGGGAUUAGAUACCCUGGUAGUC
rnacentral:rRNA from 1 species